ensembl:lncRNA
GCAGGCAGAGUGGUCAGGCAGGUGGGCUCAGAGUCAGGACAGGCAGGUCAGGCAGGCUCAGAGUCAGGACAGGCAGAGUGGUCAGGCAGGCGGGCUCAGAGUCAGGACAGGCAGAGUGGUCAGGCAGGCGGGCUCAGAGUCAGGACAGGCAGAGCGGUCAGGCAGGUGGGCUCAGAGUCAGGGCAGGCAGAGCGGUCAGGCAGGUGGGCUCAGAGUCAGGACAGGCAGAGUGGUCAGGCAGGCGAGCUCAGAGUCAGGACAGGCAGAGUGGUCAGGCAGGCGAGCUCAGAGUCAGGACAGGCAGAGUGGUCAGGCAGGCGGGCUCAGAGUCAGGACAGGCAGAGUGGUCAGGCAGGUGGGCUCAGGGUCAGGACAGGCAGAGUGGUCAGGCAGGUGGGCUCAGAGUCAGGACAGGCAGAGUGGUCAGGCAGGUGGGCUCAGGGUCAGGCAGGUGGGCUCAGAGUCAGGACAGGCAGAGUGGUCAGGCAGGUGGGCUCAGAGUCAGGACAGGCAGAGUGGUCAGGCAGGUGGGCUCAGAGUCAGGACAGGCAGGCAGGUGGUCAGGCAGGUGGGCUCAGAGUCAGGACAGGCAGAGGG